rnacentral:rRNA from 1 species
UACGUAGGGGGCGAGCGUUGUCCGGAUUUAUUGGGCGUAAAGAGCUCGUAGGCGGUUUGGUAAGUCGGAUGUGAAAUCUCCAGGCUCAACCUGGAGGGGUCAUUCGAGACUGCUAUGACUAGAGUUCGGUAGAGGAGUGUGGAAUUCCUGGUGGAGCGGUGAAAUGCGCAGAUAUCGGGAGGAACACCAGUGGCGAAGGCGGCACUCUGGGCCGGAACUGACGCUGAGGAGCGAAAGCGUGGGGAGCGAACAGG